GUUAAUAAGGGCGUAUGGUGGAUGCCUAGGGUUUCGAAGGCGAUGAAGGACGUAGCGUGACUGCGAUAAGCGUCGGGGAGAUGUCUAGCAAUCUUUGAUCCGGCGAUGUCCGAAUGAGGCAACUCAAUUCGAGUAAUGUCGAAUUACUUUACGAGUAACUGCGUAAAGAGUAAACCUGGGGAAGUAAAACAUUUCAGUACCCAGAGGAAAAGAAAACAAAAAUACAUUCCCUAAGUAGCGGCGAGCGAAAAGGGAUCAGCCCAAACCUCGUUCUACUAUCUAGAAUUUAUUCUUUGUAGUAGGGCGUGGGGUAGUAAGAAAUAGACUUUCCGGAGCGUAUAGCUAUGUUCCAGGAAGGGAGUUUAGAAAUAUAAAAGUUGUUUAAUGGAACGGUCCUGGAAAGGCCGGCCAAAGAGGGUAAUAGCCCCGUACUUGAAAAACCUUUUAUGCUCCUUGUCUAUUAUCUUGAGUACUUCGAGAACAAGAUAAGCUCGGAGGAAGCAGGGAGGACUACUCUCCUAAGGCUAAAUACUUCGAAACACCGAUAGUGAACUAGUACCGUGAGGGAAAGGUGAAAAGAAGCCCGGUGAGGGCAGUGAAAUAGUACCUGAAACCAUAUGCCUACAAGGAGUCGAAGUGGUUAUGUCGUAAGACGAACCAUAACGGCGUGCCUAUUGAAGAAUGAGCCAACGAGUUAUUGUGCAUUGCUAGUCUAAUCCCGUUCGCGGGAGGAGGCAUAGGGAAACCGAGUGUUAACAGCGCGCGAGCAGUGUGUAAUAGACCCGAAGCCGGGUGAGCUACCCCAGAUCAGGUUGAAUGUCUCCGAAAGGAGGCAGGAGGACCGAACCGGUUGGUCGUACAACGCCAUCGGAUGAAUUUGGGGUAGGAGUGAAAAGCUAAUCGAACCCGGGAAUAGCUGGUUCUCUCCGAAAUAGCUUUUGGGCUAGCGUCCAGUUUAUCUUUGCAGGUAGAGCUACUGGAAGGUUCGUAAAGGGAGAAAUCUCGACGGACCUACCAAACUCCGAAUGGCAGAGGUUUUAGCUGGCCAGUCAGACUACGGGGGCUAAGCUCCGUCGGUCAAAAGGGCAACAGCCCGGAUCUCAAUCUAAGGCCCCUAAAUUGUGUCUAAGUGUAAGUGAGGCGGUGAGGUUUCUAUAACAGCGAGGAGGUUGGCUUAGAAGCAGCAAUCCUUGAAAGAGUGCGUAACAGCUCACUCGUCAAGAGACCUUGCGCCGCAGAUGAUCGGGACUAAGACACAUGCCGAAGGUGAGGAAUUGGUGCUUGAAUUUUGGAUUAAAUAAAAAUUGUUUGUUGGAGGUAAAAUGGAUCAUAGAGACGAUCUCGAUCUAAUCGAAAUGGAAGUAAAAAGGGGGAUUUUCUUCGAAGUUGUCUACAAGGAAAUAGCGAAGCGCGGGGUAGAUCGAAAGCAAAUUCCACCGCAUAUCCACAAAAAACUCUUCUCGGAAGUUCAAGAGGCAACGAGAAACUUGUCAAAAGAAUUGCAAUCAGCAAUCUUUGAAAUGACCAGAACAGGCGUAAUGAAAGAUUUCCCAUAGAAAGGAGAACGCGAUGGCAGAGAAACUGAAACCGUUUGAGCAGAGAGUGAAAGAUAUAUUCGAUGCGGAAUUUUUUAGCGUUAGGUGGAAUCGGGAAGGUUGGCCACUGGAAGCAGAACAUGCGCUCGGCCGCGCAUUGACGCGAAUUGCGGGAGAUUUGGAGUAUCUUUAUCAGAAGACGCCAGGCGCAAAGAAAGAGCCGUCAGUAGAUGAGAUGAUAGAAGCUCUACGUCGAGAUCUGCUGGAUGAAAAAUUCCAAACCGAUAACGUCCGUUGGGUAAAAACGCCAGCUGAAUAGUUCCAAAGAUCAUAAAUGGCAACUCUGAGCAGAGAUGUUCAGAGUUGCCUCCAAAAUUCAAGCACCAAUUGGUAGGAGAGCGUUCCAUUCGCAGCGAAGCCAAAGGCGUGAGCCAUGGUGGAGCGUAUGGAAGUGAGAAUGUUGGCACAAGUAACCACAACUCGGGUGAAAGACCCGAGCACCGUAAGCCUAAGGUUUCCUUGGCAAUGAUUGUCAGCCAAGGGUUAGUCGGUCCUAAGUCGAUGACGAAAGUCGCAGAUGAAGGGCACACGGUUAAUAUUCCGUGACUUCCUUAUUUUUUGAUGAAGGGACGAAGAUUAGUAUGCUCUGCGCGUUAUUGGAUUCGCGUUUGGAGAGGGAGGGGUGAGUGUAGGAAAAUCCGCACUCGGCCUUUUGGCAACUCUUAUCUCUUUGAAAAUUCUCUCCUUCGGGAUGGGAAAUAGAGCAAAGCAGUCUUCCAAGAAAAUCUUCUAAAAUUAUGAAUAGGGAAACCGUACCGAAAACCGACACAGGUGGGCGAGGCGAGUAGCCUCAGGUGAACGAGUGAGAGAUCCUCAAGGAACUCGGCAAAAAAGCGGCCGUAACUUCGGGAUAAGGCCUCCCCGUUAGAUAGCGCGCAAGCGCCCAUCUAAUGGGGCGCAGCGAAAGUACCCCUGGCGACUGUUUAUCAAAAACACAGCUCCCUGCGAACACGUAAGUGGAUGUAUAGGGGGUGACGCCUGACCAAUGCGAGAAGGUUAACGAUGGCGGUGGUAUGUAGCAAUAUGUACUGCUGACUGUCCGAAGCCCUCGUCAAUGUCGGCCGUAACUAUAACGGUCCUAAGGUAGCGCAAUUCCUUGUCGGGUGAGUUCCGACGCGCACGAAAGGCGUAACGACUGGGGGACUGUCUCGAGGAUUCGCUCGGUGAAAAUACAAUACCGGUGAAGAUGCCGGUUAGGUGCAGUUAGACGAAAAGACCCCGGAAGCUUUACUGCAACUUGAUAUUGGGUAUGAGUUUUUUAUGCGUAGCGUAGUGGGUAGCCUUUGAAAUCAUGGUCUCGGCUGUGAUGGAGGCGCCAAUGAAACACCCACCUUAAAGAAUUUAUAUUCUAACCUCGACGGAGAAAACGUUUGGGGACAGUGUCUGGUGGGCAGUUUGUGUGGGGCGCAACCCUCCUAAAAAGUAACGGAGGGGUUUAUUAAGGUCGGCUUGGUACGGAUGGAAAUCGUACCGGACCUGUAAGAGGAAAAGCCGGCUUAACUGCGAGACGGUCAGGUCGAGCAGAUGCGAAAGCAGAAUCUAGUGAACCGACCAUUGUGUGUAGGACACGUGGAAGAUUAACGGAUAAAAGCUACUCCGGGGAUAACAGGCUAGUUCCGCCCGAGCGUCCAUAGCGACGGCGGAGUUCGGCACCUCGAUGUCGGCUCAUCUCAUCCUGGGGGUGGAGAAAACAUAACUUCUCUCUCUGAUGGAAACGUCAGAGUAAUAAACGAGCCCAAAACGGUGAAGGCCCAUUCAUAAAUUCGCAGGUCCCAGGUAUAAUUUGAAUGUAUGAAGGUUAACCCCGUGGGAAAGCGAUUGUCUGAAGUCGAGCGAGCAUAUAUUGCUGGUUUUCUUGAUGCCGACGGCGCCAUAAUGGCGACGAUCGAACGGCACAAGGAGAAAAAAUUUGGUUUCCGUAUUCGGGUUGUUUUAAAAGCAACCCAAGCCAAUCCCAAAAUUCUGCAUUGGUUGCAAAAUAAAUGCCAUUGCGGACUAGUGCGUAAAAAUCGCACUACGUAUGAUUGGCUUUUACGGAAGCAAAGUGAAAUUAAGGAACUGUUGACUAUAUUGAAACCUUAUUUCAAGAUUAAGAAUCAGCAAACCACAAAAGCAUUACGAUUGCUAAGUGGCACGAUCAAUUCUCCUAAGGAAUUGAUGGUGGCGGCUCGUUUGGCGGAUACAUUGGCGCGAUUGAAUGUGCGAUCAAAAAAUCGCCGCAUCAAUCAUGCGACAAUGAUCAAAGACAAGCGCUCCCGUAACGACUGAUCUCCGAUGCAAGAUCGUAGUGAGAUAGAUGGCUUUGGAUAUUAUUAUGAAUUAUGCCACUAUCAUACGGUUCGCACCUACGGUUCAAUCGGUGACGAUUGCAACUAUGGUGAUGGUAUAGUCUGGUACUCCGCGUAAGCGGAGAUAACAAGAAAUGAGGUCCCAAGGGUUUGGCUGUUCGCCAAUUAAAGCGGUACGCGAGCUGGGUUCAGAACGUCCUCCCAAUCUGGGAGCAUGGCGUUUGGCGGCAGUAAUGCCGUUCUAGCACCAACUGUAUCGGUGAAGCCCUCCUUGAAUUUCGAACUGUUCAAGAGGGUAAUACCGAGGCAACCUGCGAAAGCAGAGAGUCCGUAGAGACUACACGUUGGCUCCCGAUGUAUAAUCGGGAUGAAGAUAUAGUCCAUGCCAUUAGAAAUAAUGAAUAUACAUGCGUGAGACAGUUCGGUCUCCUAUCUGUCGCGGGCGCAAAGACUUGAGAGGGCUCUUUCCUAGUACGAGAGGACCGGAAAGAACGAACCUCCUGUGUAUGAGUUGUUCUACCAAGGGCAUUGCUCAGUAGCAGCGUUCGGCACGGAUAAGCGCUGAAAGCAUCUAAGCGCGAAGCCGUCCUCAAGAUUAGGUCUUAUUUGACUCCUUAGAGAUUAUGAGGUUGAUAGGGCGCAGGUGAAAGAUCCGUAAGGAUUUGAGCCGAGCGUUACUAAUCGGUCAAAAAC
rnacentral:rRNA from 1 species